rnacentral:sRNA from 1 species
CCCUAGCCCCGAUGGGAGGGAAAAUCCUUUUGUGGUGGGGUUCACCACAAAAGAUUGGAAGGAACAGCGGGAUCAGCU